GUACGCUUUUAGGUAAUAGUGACCACCCCCUCGAUUUUUGUAUCUUUGGCUAUGAAGCAGAUGGAGAGUUGGUUUCUUCGGCAAAGUUGUUGGGUAUUGAAAGAGUGGUUGUAUGGAAGUGACCACAGUGUACGCUUUUGUGUGUGAGUGACCACCCCC